CCAGACUCCUACGGGAGGCAGCAGUGGGGAAUAUUGCACAAUGGGGGAAACCCUGAUGCAGCGACGCCGCGUGAAGGAUGAAGUAUUUCGGUAUGUAAACUUCUAUCAGCAGGGAAGAAAAUGACGGUACCUGACUAAGAAGCCCCGGCUAACUACGUGCCAGCAGCCGCGGUAAUACGUAGGGGGCAAGCGUUAUCCGGAUUUACUGGGUGUAAAGGGAGCGUAGACGGCAUGGCAAGUCUGAUGUGAAAGCCCGGGGCCCAACCCCGGGACUGCUCUGGAAACUGCGGCGCUGGAGUACGGGAGGGGCAGGCGGAAUUCCUGGUGUAGCGGUGAAAUGCGUAGAUAUCAGGAGGAACACCGGCGGCGAAGGCGGCCUGCUGGACCGUGACUGACGUUGAGGCUCGAAAGCGUGGGGGGCGAACAGGAUUAGAUACCCGGGUAUAC
rnacentral:rRNA from 1 species